rnacentral:sRNA from 1 species
GGGAUGAAUCUGGUACCUUCACGCAAUAGAUUGAUCGGAUCUGGCGGAGUGGGGCGCUGCUAUCUCUUCGUGCAACUCAUUUAGGAUGGUCCACAUCUUGACUGCAUCUGGUUGGCAUCUAAUCCAGGCUUGGACAAGUUAUUUUCACAGCCGAAAACGAUGAGGAUUUACAGAAGUUCCAUUUUCCGGAAUCAGGAAGGAUUGAGAUGACUCAUGACACCUGCAGGUGGUGAGGGAGUUGACUGCCAGGUUCUGAGAUAUCAUUGAGAUGACCGAAUGGCUGACUAUCGUUCCUAAAAAAGCCAUUCUCAAUAUAUCCCAAUGUCAACCAACAACUACAAUGAUUAAAGGUUCUCAUUAGGGCACUGGCGAUCCUGAAUCCUCAAAAGUGGGAAACAACUCGCGAAGCUCUGGAACACUCCGGAUUUGCUGGCUAUGAGGUGGCUGUACCAUGAUAUCCUUUGAAAUUUCUGCGCUGCUUCAGGAUUUCUGAUGCCAUGCCAAAUGAAUGGAAGGCGUUGCUGGGGAUUGGGACGUCUGUAAGACAGUACAGGGAGGUUUGCCGUCCUCCAGCAAGUUUGGGCGAAACGUAGGUCUCAGUCGAAUAUGAAGAGUGUUUUGUGUUUAUUCCACAUCAAGUAAUUACAUGAGGUAGUGGGAGUUAUAGUAGCUGGUUUUGAAAGGCCAAUGAGCCUGACAUUUGUGUCAGAAUGAUAAACAGGACCGUGGUAGAAUCAGCUGGUAGAUGGACAAAACCAGUGAGGCACGUAGGAGUUCGGCGCCCCUAUUUGCGGGCAAUCUCUCAUCAUGGAGGAAAUUGUACAGGA